CUCAUUCGAUAUCAAAAUUUUAGCUUCCGUUCUUGGCAGGUUACAGAAUGUUUGGGGUCCACCAAGAUAGAAAUGAACAUCACAAUCCAUCUCUAUAGCUGCAUGUGGUAAAUCAAACUUUGGCACUAAAUGUGUAGCACUUUACAAGUCAAAGAAGCUGAACUUGAAAAUGAAAAUUUGGGAAUUCAAACUAUUUUCCAAAUUCGUAUACACAGCGUGGUUAGGUAAACGAGAAAGGUAUAGAUAAUCAGUUUGACGAGCCUUCAUCGUAGACGAGAUUGGCAUUCAACGAAGGAUAGGUAAGACUUCAUCUCAUUCGGAGUGCAGCCGAGUCUAUGAGUCACAUGUCAGAGUUUUACUACAGACUUAUGGGUAGGCCGGUAC